CGCGGAAAUGAGCGGAAGCAGCCUGCGGUCUGCAUCGAAAGCCCGGAUGCUCUCUGCUGCCCGGGUUAGUUGUAGGCCGCUACGCAACUGCGACUUGAAGAAGACAGAGAUUCUUGCAGCUCCGCGGUCCUGCUCCCGAAAGACUCCUGGCCUGGUCGCAGUAGCACCUGUAGGGCUUGCGCGAUAGCCUGAUGAUCUGGAACCAUCGAUGACGUCUCACCCACAACUACGCACAGGUUAAUUCUGCAUCGGGGCACGCGCUAGAGCUACCUGACUCCGUUUCGACCGCGCUGGCGGCACUCUCGGAGAAAUCGUUCGCGGGAAUCUGCUGCAGCCGAGGUGGCAACUUGGACGAUUGUCCACCUCUGCAGCCCAGUCUGGGGAUCACGCUCCAGAUGGGCCUCCCAGCCGCGGCCCCUGAGCGAUGCGGACCCCUCAUUGACGCCUACACCUUUCCGAGGCUUCACUCUAGAGGAUCGACAUCCUGCGGAUCCCCUCGUCCCAGAUAAUGAAGAGGAGCGUCGCGUCUUGUGACCAGCGUGCGGGGUGUCUGAAAUCCAUCGAUCGGCUGGGGUGCUCCCCACCGUACGCGAACGGGGGCCGCAAGAACCGUCGGGAUCGGAGAAGCAGAUAUGAAAGCGGCGUUCGCUGUCCUCCAGCGCCACAGACCAGAGCUACUCCAGCGCGUCGGGCCGACGCCUGCACCAGCAGCGGACGACAUCCUGAUUGAAAUCCCAGAAGACCUCCUCUGAAGCGGACUUUGAAGAGUGUUGAACUGUUCAUCGUGGGCCCGUAGUGCUUUUAGACGCUGCACCGGUUUGUGCAUAGCUUUAGGGACAGGCUUUGUGCCCGGACGGCACGUCCUGUUUUGAGGUGGGGGAGUAUCUGGAUUCUCGGCAGGUUAUUAUCAAGGCCACCACCGGAGUCAUCUGGAGCAACAGACGCCGAAGCUAACAGUGUUGUAUCGGAGAUUAUCCGCUCGCAGUCGGAGGGGGGGGGGGACUACACACGUGCCAGAGUGAGGGCGCUGGAAUGGCGUGAUUGACGGAUUACAAAGACUGGAGAAGAAAGCGCCGGGAGGAGCUGGUCACGGAAGUUCGCGCAAGUCAGCGCAAGCAGCCUGCGGUCUGCAUCGAAGUCCUGGUGGUAAAAUAAAGCGUUCUCUUGUUC